GACAUUUUGGACAUUGUCACACUAAGCUACUCUCUGGUCCCUGAUGCUGCAUGCUCUCACGGGGUGACUCUACACCUACUUUUAUCUUUUCCACACACCCUCUCUCGCAUGUUACCGCUCGUGAAGUGAUUACACCUGCUUCAAGACCAAAUCAAACUUCCUUUCCAGCCCUCCCAGCUGGGACGGUCAUGGCCAAUUUCACAGCAUCUGUCAAUAGACGACCACGGAGAUGUUGAUAAUGCAGCUGAUAAUGUCCUCAUACUUCACGUGGCUUCUGUGGUUACAGCUUAAAUCUCUAAUCACAGAACCUAAGCCAUCUCUACAACCCAGCCUGAAGAUGGGAGAGGGCAAGUAUCACGAAUUUCAGCCUUUCAGAUAGAAGGUUCUGACACCAACCGUACUGAUGCGCUGCAAGAUGUUCCUCUAUUAGUGAAGAGAGAGAUACAGCGAGAGA